CAUGAAUCAUGUGACGGUGGCUUGAGGAGGAACCUGUCUUUAAAGCUGUCCCUGAAGUGACAGCGGAGAGAACCAGGCAGCCCAGAAACCCCAGGACCUAAAGCGAUUCUUGUAUAAAAAGUUACCAAGUGUUGAAGGGCUCCAUGCCAUUGUUGUGUCAGAUAGAGAUGGAGUACCUGUUAUUAAAGUGGCAAAUGACAAUGCUCCAGAGCAUGCUUUGCGACCUGGUUUCUUAUCCACUUUUGCCCUUGCAACAGACCAAGGAAGCAAACUUGGACUUUCCAAAAAUAAAAGUAUCAUCUGUUACUAUAACACCUACCAGGUGGUUCAAUUUAAUCGUUUACCUUUGGUGGUGAGUUUCAUAGCCAGCAGCAGUGCCAAUACAGGACUAAUUGUCAGCCUAGAAAAGGAACUUGCUCCAUUGUUUGAAGAACUGAGACAAGUUGUGGAAGUUUCUUAAUCUGACAGUGGUUUCAGUGUGUACCUUAUCUUCAUUAUAACAACACAAUAUCAAUCCAGCAAUCUUUAGACUACAAUAAUACUUUUAUCCAUGUGCUCAAGAAAGGGCCCCUUUUUCCAACUUAUACUAAAGAGCUAGCAUAUAGAUGUAAUUUAUAGAUAGAUCAGUUGCUAUAUUUUCUGGUGUAGGGUCUUUCUUAUUUAGUGAGAUCUAGGGAUACCACAGAAAUGGUUCAGUCUAUCACAGCUCCCAUGGAGUUAGUCUGGUCACCAGAUAUGGAUGAGAGAUUCUAUUCAGUGGAUCAGAAUCAAACUGGUACAUUGAUCCACUUGAGCCGUUAAGUGCUGCCAAUUGUACAAUAUGCCCAGGCUUGCAGAAUAAAGCCAACUUUUUAUUGUGAAUAAUAAUAAGGACAUAUUUUUCUUCAGAUUAUGUUUUAUUUCUUUGCAUUGAGUGAGGAACAUAAAAUGGCUUGGUAAAAGUAAUAAAAUCAGUACAAUC
rnacentral:lncRNA from 1 species